GGGGGCAAGAGAUACUGUAGUUAGAGGGAGGACACCCUGAGAGACACUGAGAGGGAGACUUUGAAAGUGGGAGAGAAUGUGUGGAAAAGAUGGUGUGAGAGACAGGAUUCUGUGUUGGAACUGGACGCUAAGACAUUGAGCAACAAGGGGACGUCCUUGAGCAGAAGGGACAUGUAAAAUAAGGAGCAACCUGGACUGAAGACUAAGGAAAACAAGGGCUAAGAAAGUGUAAGAGGAGAAGGAAAAGAUAUCAAAGGAGGAAUAAAGCAAGUAGAAUGGGUUGUGUCUUCAGCAAGCAGAGGUGGGUUAAAGAGAGGAAUCCCCAGCCCUCAGACCCCCCGAAAACACGAGACAUCACAGAGGAUGCAGAGAUUCUCAGCUUGACAGAGGUACGCAUGUGUUUAUGUGUGCGGAAGGGGUCAUAUAUAGUUGGGGAAAAUGGGUUCACACUCCUUUAAAGAGAGGAACUUCAAGAAGAAACACCACUGUGUUGUCUGCAGACAAGCCCUCGACAGCCAUGGCAUUUACUGCAGAGAGUGUGAAACUGCAGUGCAUAAGAAAUGUGAGGAAAAAUGCAUGCCCUUGUUUGAGAGGGAGAGAGAGAGAGGAAGAGUUGAGUGGGAGCAAGAGAGUAAGAGGAUCAGAAAGACAUGAGAGCACUUGUGUGUGUGCUAUAGGAACU
rnacentral:lncRNA from 1 species